rnacentral:rRNA from 1 species
UACGAAGGGGGCUAGCGUUGUUCGGAAUUACUGGGCGUAAAGCGCACGUAGGCGGAAUGUUAAGUCAGGGGUGAAAUCCCGGGGCUCAACCCCGGAACUGCCUUUGAUACUGGCAUUCUCGAGUCCGGAAGAGGUGAGUGGAAUUCCGAGUGUAGAGGUGAAAUUCGUAGAUAUUGGGAAGAACACCUGAGGCGAAGGCGGGUUGCUGGGCCGACACUGACGCUGAGGCGCGAAAGCCAGGGGAGCGAACGGG